rnacentral:rRNA from 1 species
AUGUCGGCAAGACCCGCAAGUUGGACCCCGAACGAUCGACGUCUCGUGGACCGUGUACAUCUACCAUCGCCCCGAAGACGUAGGAGUCAUCAAGUACCUCUCCGAACAAACAUGAACGAUUGCCGUCGCAAGAACGGGACCAGAAAGUCCGAAGACCACAAGUACCACAACACUGAUGACAUGAACGUCUACGGAGACUCGUGCAAUGAUAAACAUGUACCCCUACCAUCGCCGAGAUCACGGGAACCUCUACCGUCGACCCUAGAGCAUGCGAGAACGACCACUUCCACUACAGCCGUUGCGAGAACGACUACUUCCACUACCGCCAUCGCGAGAACGUCUACUUCCUCUACUUUGCACCGAACGAGAACUAUCCCGCUUGCACGCUUCGAAGUUCCGGUAACAUUGCGUUUGUGA